UUUUUGGUCAAAACCAUUCAACAAAUCUCUAGGAAAGUCUAAACUUUCCCACGUCCUCCUGUCUUCUUCUGAGCCCUCCAACCUGUUCCAACCUCUGCGUGUUACCAGUUUCAAAGUUGCUUCCACAUUUUCAGAACAUAAAAGAGAAAAAAAAUG